GAAAGAUAUGCCAGACGAGUUAUAAGGCCAUUCUAAAAACAGGAGGAUGUCAACUGCAUGACAGAAACAGGAGUCUGGGAUGGAGAAACAGGUAAAAUCCAGAACACUGCACAACUGAGGAAUGCAUCCAGCAUGUGAUGAAGGAGUGAAUCUGAUCACACAGGGAUGAAUAUAUACAGAUGAUUGUUUUCCCAGGAAGAAUAAAAGUCCGGCAUUUAUGGCAUGAGAACUGGAAGAACCUUAGAACAUUUUCAGCUAGCUACAGUGGUUAUCAAAGACAGUUACACUGGGCUUGUAGGGGCUGGAGGGGGAAAUGAAGCACUGGCUCGAGCAACCCAACACAUUUUCAGUAGUAAAUAUUGCAUUGUGCAGUAAUGGAUUCAUUUAAUGCAUGAUAAGAUAAGACUCCUGUGAUUGAAAUCACAGGAGACAUCACAGGAAUGUUUGCUUAGAAAGGAAUGAAAUUCAUAGAACAAGUUUAGUUUAUUAAGUCUGCAGCCAGAGAAAAUAGCCUGAACGAGCACUCAGCCUCUGAAACACUUCCUGACUUUCAAGGAGUCUUCCUCUCUGUGUGGACAUUGAUACCUAGGCUACUCCAUGGCAACCUCUGUCAAAAC
ensembl:lncRNA